rnacentral:rRNA from 1 species
GACGAACGCUGGCGGCGUGCCUAAUACAUGCAAGUAGAACGCUGAAGCGAUGAGCUUGCUCUUCUUGGAUGAGUUGCUAACGGGUGAGUAACGCGUAGGUAACCUGCCUUGUAGCGGGGGAUAACUAUUGGAAACGAUAUCUAAUACCGCAUAACAAUGGAUGACACAUGUCAUUUAUUUGAAAGGGGCAAUUGCUCCACUACAAGAUGGAUCUGCGUUGUAUUAGCUAGUAGGUGAGGUAAUGGCUCACCUAGGCGACGAUACAUAGCCGACCUGAGAGGGUGGUCCGCCAAACUGGGACGGGGAACCGGCCCAGAAUGCUUAGGGGAGGAGCCGGAGGGAAACAUGGGAAAGGGGGGGAAAGCUGAACGCACCACGACGCGGGAGGGAAGAAGGGUUUCGGGUCGGAAAGGUCGGUUGUAAGUCAAGAAAGGGAGUGAGAGUGGAACGUUGACACUGUGACGGUAGCUAAACAGAAAGCAACGGCUAACUACGUG